rnacentral:rRNA from 1 species
CAGCAGCCGCGGGAACACGGAGGGUGCAAGCGUUAAUCGGAAUUACUGGGCGUAAAGCGCACGCAGGCGGUCUGACAAGUCAGAUGUGAAAUCCCCGGGCUUAACCUGGGAACUGCAUUUGAAACUGUCAGGCUGGAGUCUUGUAGAGGGGGGUAGAAUUCCAGGUGUAGCGGUGAAAUGCGUAGAGAUCUGGAGGAAUACCGGUGGCGAAGGCGGCCCCCUGGACAAAGACUGACGCUCAGGUGCGAAAGCGUGGGGAGCAAACAGGAUUAGAUACCCCAGUAGUCCCUGUCUCUUAUAA